rnacentral:rRNA from 1 species
UACGUAGGUGACAAGCGUUGUCCGGAUUUACUGGGCGUAAAGAGCGCGCAGGCGGUCGAUCAAGUCGAGUGUGAAAGCCCCCGGCUCAACUGGGGAGGGUCAUUCGAUACUGAUCGACUCGAAGGCAGGAGAGGGUAGUGGAAUUCCCGGUGUAGUGGUGAAAUGCGUAGAGAUCGGGCGGAACACCAGCGGCGAAGGCGGCGACCUGGCCCUGACCUGACGCUGAGGCGCGAGAGCGUGGGGAGCGAACGGG